CCCUCUGGGAAUCCGGCCGAGGAGCCUAGGCCGAAGGGACUAACGCCGGCAGAAAAGUGAUUUUUCAACGUGGUCACAGACCACAGAAAAAUGGAAAGAUGUGGCCCGUGCAGAUCGGCAACAGACAUAGAGGUUUAUGUGAAAGGAGGAAGGCGGAGUGGAAAGGGGCAGCCGGAUACCAGAAGAAGAGAAACCAUUUGCCGGUUUUGAGGCAAUAGAGGCAAAAGGAGAUUUUUCCAGCAGUGGGACUUCUGGUCUCCUUGGCAUGAAGUGGAGAGAGAAGUUGACCUUUUGACACGAUAACAGUCUUCGGGGAUGUCCGCGGCUUCAGCGUCCAUUGGAGACCAGCCCGAUGUCACCGUCACUCAGUUUCCUUGGCUGCGGUCCCGUGUUCCUCCCCACCGACCCUGUUGGGAUCUCCGCUGGCAGCCGGCUCGGGGCCCAGUUGCUGUCGUCCGUUGAAGCGGUUGGCCUGAGAGCGGCGAGCACGAAAGGUGGUGUUUCAGUAAGUCUGGGCACACAACAGCCACCAGCCAGGUGGCGAGCACAGGUGGACACUUUGGCAGAGUUCACUUUAUCGGAGCUUUCCUUCCAGCCUCCUCCCUUUCCCAGAACCCCUAGGGCUCUUUUCAUUGAUAGCCGUGGAGUGAGCAAGUGCAGCCGGGCCCAGCAGAUCCAGCCUCUCACCCAGCCACGCUGGGGGGGUGGACGACACUGUCGCCUUCACUUCCAGCUCCUUCUUUAGCUUGCCCUCCUCACCCUCUCCCCAGCUGGCCCAAUCCUUUAUGUCCAUGCAGCUUAGAUCAGAUGCUCAUCACAGCUUCAUAUGCUUCCCCUUCUCCAACACUCCGAGAAUCUCCUAAAGUGCCAAACUGAGGUGAGAAAUGGGGCCUCGUCGGCCCCUCUCCAAGCGGCCCCCACAACGACGGCAGCAGCUUGAGACAAGGAAGGGCCCCGGGGGACAUCACGGCAAACUCAAUCGUGUUUAUUGAGCGCUUACCGUGAGCGGAGCACUAGACCAAACG